UAUCGUUCAUCCACUUCUCCAACUCCUACAAAACAGACAGUGUCAGAAUGCUAAGGAAAUAAACUGUUGUACAUUUGCUAAUACUAUCAGCAAAUUUACUGUUUGUUAAUAAUAUUAACAAUUGAUGCUGCAACGUUUCAUCUUCGUCCUGAACGUGAAGCCCUCCAACAUCCACCGCGGCAGGUGUCGUUGGCUCUAUUCCAUUUAGCGUUAUGUGAGAGUUGAUGAGGAUUAACGACAACUUCUUCUCCAAUUCUCGGACGCCCGGCAUAUCCGAACGCAUUCACAGUGUUAUGCAGACGCUGCCAAAAAUUCAUAGAACCGGGGAAACUUAUAAGGAUGUUCGGCACGAAUGCCAGGUUCUCAGGUUGCGCGAUUGCCGGGCGUAGCCAUGGGAAUAGCGGCAUGGUGCU